AUUGAACGCUGCGGCAUGCCUUACACAUGCAAGUCGAACGGCAGCACGGGAGCAAUCCUGGUGGCGAGUGGCGAACGGGUGAGUAAUACAUCGGAACGUGCCCUGUCGUGGGGGAUAACUAGUCGAAAGAUUAGCUAAUACCGCAUACGACCUGAGGGUGAAAGCGGGGGACCGUAAGGCCUCGCGCGAUAGGAGCGGCCGAUGUCUGAUUAGCUAGUUGGUGGGGUAAAGGCCCACCAAGGCGACGAUCAGUAGCUGGUCUGAGAGGACGAUCAGCCACACUGGGACUGAGACACGGCCCUGACUCCUACGGGAGGCAGCAGUGGGGAAUUUUGGACAAUGGGGGCAACCCUGAUCCAGCAAUGCCGCGUGUGUGAAGAAGGCUUCGGGUUGUAAAGCACUUUUGUCCGGAAAGAAAUCCCUUGCCCUAAUACGGCGGGGGGAUGACGGUACCGGAAGAAUAAGCACCGGCUAA
rnacentral:rRNA from 1 species